UGGGGAAUAUUGCACAAUGGGCGCAAGCCUGAUGCAGCAACGCCGCGUGAGUGAUGAAGGCCUUCGGGUUGUAAAACUCUGUCCUAUGGGAAGAAUAAAAUGACGGUACCAUAGGAGGAAGCCCCGGCUAACUACGUGCCAGCAGCCGCGGUAAUACGUAGGGGGCAAGCGUUAUCCGGAAUCACUGGGCGUAAAGGGUGCGUAGGUGGCUUAUCAAGCCAGAGGUGAAAGGCAUUGGCUCAACCAAUGUAAGCCUUUGGAACUGAUUAGCUUGAGUGCAGGAGAGGUAAGUGGAAUUCCUAGUGUAGAGGUGAAAUUCGUAGAUAUUAGGAGGAACAACAGUGGCGAAGGAGACUUACUGGACUGUAACUGACACUGAGGCACGAAAGCGUGGGUAGCGAACA
rnacentral:rRNA from 1 species